rnacentral:rRNA from 1 species
UACGGAGGGAGCAAGCGUUACUCGGAAUUAUUGGGCGUAAAGGGCGCGUAGGCGGUCUGAAAAGUCCUGUGUGAAAGCCCACAUGUUAACUGUGGAAGUGCACAGGAAACUGUUGGAUUUGAGUUCAGGAGAGGAAGGCAGAAUUCCCGGUGUAGCGGUGAAAUGCGUAGAGAUCGGGAGGAAUACCAGUGGCGAAGGCGGCCUUCUGGACUGACACUGACGCUGAGGCGCGAAAGCCAGGGGAGCAAACGGG